GCUCCACGUCACGUGCAUCUAAUGAAAACAGUAGUUUGAGCUCAACAAUGGUUGGAAAAAAAGGUUUGCACCAAUCUUUUAUUAUGAUAGUGUUGUAUAUUACCUAAUUGGUAAUUUUAUGCUAAUGAUACCUAAAUAUACAGGUUAUAACUCUAAAAAAAAGUUGUACAUACGUAGGACAGUUACAAUCUGAUUAUGUUCCCUUGAAGACUGUUCUUAAUUGUAAAUUUUGUGGUGCAAAAAAAUUUGAAUAUGAACCACAUGGAUUCUGCUGUAACAAUGGUUCGAUCAAGUUAGUUUCACAUGAGAUGCCUGCUGAACUACAAAAUUUAUAUUUGGGGACUACGGAAAAAUGUAAACAUUUUCAAACAUAUAUCAGAACAUACAAUAAUAUGUUUGUAUUUACAUCACUUGGUGUAAAUUAUGACAAAGAAUUAACAAAAAGAAAUCGUGGUGUUUAUACAUUUAGAUCCAAGGGAAGAUGUACCAUUUUAUAAAUGAUUUGCUGUCUCCAAGUGGAAUAUCAAGCAAUCUACAACUAUACUUCUACGACAACGAUAAUGAAUUAACUAAUAGAAUGGCUUGCUCUGAAAAAAUCCAUGAAUCAAUAGUAAAAAAACUAAUGAAUAUAUUGAGAACUAAUCCAUACUCUAUUUUCUUAAAGUCCCUAAUAGAUGUUCCAAAUCUAUCGAACUACAAUAUUGCACUUAAAUCUGACACAGGUUUGGAUCAAUGUGUAUACAAUCUUCCUACUACAUCAGAAGUUGCAGGAAUAUGGGUUGAAAAAGAAAUCACUGAAGUUAGUUCUGCACCUCAUAUUCGAAUCUACACUCAUAGCAAUAGAUCUCAAAUAGUGAACUACUAUUACGGAUGUUAUGAUCUGCUACAGUAUCCACUAUUAUUUCUAUAUGGUCAAAGUGGAUGGCACUGUGGCACUAAAAAAAUAAUACAACCAAAAAAUACUUCUAAACGUCGAGCCUAUUGUGAACACGAAGAAUUACCAAGUAUUAAAAAUAUGUGUUCUGUUGAUGGAUACCUUGACACAGAAGCUCAGAAUCUUGAAAAAGGAAAAUGAAAAAGAGAUAAUAUCUCUGUUCGUGAAUAUUACUGUUAUAAAUUCCAAAUGAGAGAAGAUGAAACAAAUGAAACUUUUCAUUCUGGAAGAUUAUUUCAACAAUAUUCAGUAGAUGAACACAUAAAACUUGAAACACAGAGAUUGGACUUUUUCUCAUUCAACCCAGAUCUCUUUAGGAUAGAAAUGCUACAAGGACUCAUUGAUGUUUUAAGACUUCCCUGAAAGAGACGCUUCAAAUAUAGGAAAACAAACAUUCCUUCCUAUUACUUUUAUAGGAGGACCAAGAGACAUGCGUCGACACUACAUGGAUGCUAUUUCUUUGGUACAACAAUUUGGAAAGCCUGAUCUAUUCGUAACGAUGACUUGUAACCCAUCUUGGCCCGAGAUAAAAGAGCACUUGCUAUCAACUGGCGAGGCACAAAACAUACCUGAUUUAAUUAGUCGAGUUUUUAGAGCAAAGAGAAGAACUAAAAACAGAUAUAUUAAAAAGAAAUAUCUUUGGAAAAGUUGCAGCUCUUAUGUAUACUGUAGAAUUUCAAAAACGUGGUUUACCACAUGCUCGUUUCCUUAUUAUACUUACUUAUGAAUACAUUAGUAAUGUUUCCAGGAGCCGAGGGUCUCCUGGAAACAGUCUCUCUGCCCCUCGGGAUAGGGGUAAAGUUUGCAUAUAUAUUACCCUCCCCAGACCCCACUUGUGGGAUUAUACUGGGUCGUUGUUGUUGUUGUACUUACUAAUGAAUACAAACUAUUCACUCCAGAAUCUCAUGACAAUAUUGUUUGUGCUGAGCUACCUGAUUGUAAAACUGAAGAAACCUUAUGUAAACUUGUUCUCCAACAUAUGAUGCAUGGACCUUGUGGUAAGUUAAACCCUACAAAUUCAUGGAUGCAAAGGAAAAAAGAUUGUUACAAAUUCAAAUAUCCAAGAAGCUUUGCUGAUCAAACAUCAAAAGGAAAAAAUUCUUACCCAAUUUAUAGAAGAUGGAACACAGGACUUGUGAAAGUCAAAGAUCACUAUUUUGAUAACUCAUGGGUUGUCCCUUAUAAUCCAUUCUUACUUGGAAAAUUCAAUUGUCACAUAAAUGUUGAAAUUUGUUCAGAUAUUAAAGCUGUUAAAUAUAUUUAUAACUACAUCUGCAAAGGACAUGAUAAAAUCGCAUUUCACAUACAUGAUAAUGUCGCAAAUGUUGAAGUAGAUGAAAUAAAAGAAUAUCAGUCUGCUCGAUGGGUAUCACCGCCUGAGGCUUUGGUUUCCCUAUUAAUGAAAUGACACCAGCUGUUUAUCAUCUUCAGUUACAUCUUGAAGGACAACAAUUUGUUUCUUUUAGGAGUGCAUCGAGUAUAAACUCAAUUAUGAAUAAUCCUAUGAUUAGAAAAACAAUGUUAACAGAAUUUUUUGAUAUGAACAAAACAAAUAAAGAUGCAAUAAAGCUCAAUCUACUGUAUAAAGAAUUUCCACAAUAUUUUGUAUGGUCAGUACAAUAUAAAAUGUGGACCCGUCGAACAAAGGGUAAUGUCAUUUGACGUGUUGUAACAUCUCAUCCAACAGAAGGUGAAAGAUAUUAUCUGAGAUUAUUAUUAAUGAAUAUAAGAGGACCAAAAUCAUAUGAAGACCUACUACCUGUAAAUGAAGUACGUUGCGAUACAUUCAGAGAAUCAGCUCAAAAAAGAGGGCUACUUCAUUGUGACAAUAACUUAGCUGAAUGUAUGGUAGAAGUUGAGAGUUAUCAAAUGCCAUGUAGCUUGAGACGCUUGUUUGCUACAUUGUUGAUAUAUUGUGAUCCUGCUAAUCCAAGAAAAUUGUGGGAGAAAUUCGAGGACUCUAUGUCUGAAGAUUUCAAAAUUUUACCAGACAUAGGAACAAAAAGUGUUCGAUAUAAAGUUUUAGACUAUCUCAAUGACAUCUUACAUUCGAUGGGACAUAACAUUAAUGAGUAUAAACUUAUCCCUGAAAAUUUUAAGGCUUCAACGGCUGCCAAAGGAGCAAGAGAAAUAUUCUUCGAAAGAAACAUAAUCAUUACUGAAAAAGAGCUAUUACUGCGACAAAAGUUGAAUCGUGAACAACACAUGGCAUACAAUGUGAUUAUAGAUAGAAUAUCUUCGAACAGAGCAGGAAAUUUUUUUGUUGACGGUCCUGGAGGAACAGGUAAAACUUUUUUAUAUCGUGCCUUAUUAGCUACUGUGCGAUCUAAAGGAUUUAUUGCUCUAGCAACAACAACCUCUGGAGUUGCGGCUUCGAUUCUUCCAGGUGACCGUACGGCUCAUUCCCGUUUUAAAAUUUCAUUGACAUUGAUGAAAACUUUAGUUGCAAUAGUAGCAAACAAAGUUGACUUGCCUGUUUGAUUCGAGAUGCAAAAUUAAUUAUAUGGGAUAAAGUAUCGAUGGCAAAAAAGAAAAUGAUUGAAACUUUUGAUCUACUUUUGAAAGAUCUCUUGAAUAUUAAUGUGCUUUUUGGUGGUAAAGUUGUUGUCUUUAGAGGUGAUUUUAGACAAACUCUACCAGUAGUUCGAAACGGAAAAAGAGAAGAUUUUAUUCAUAAAAUUUUAUUAUAUUCUGACAUUUGACUCCGACUUGAAAAAUUACAACUAUCAAAAAACAUGCGUGCAAAAACUGAUCCUGCCUUUUGUGAAUAUUUGAUGAGAAUAGAAAAUGGAAAAGAACCUCAUACUUCUGAAAACAAAAUUGAAAUUUCAAAUUCAUUUAUCGUCCCUUAUACUACUGAACUGGAAUCUUUGAAUGCAUUAUUUGAAACAACAUUUCCUAAUAUGCAUGCUUUCUUCUGUGAUGCAUCUUCUGUAACUUCCCGCGUUAUUUUGACGACGAAAAAUGAUUUUGCAAAUGAAAUAAAUGAUAUGCUUAUAGGAAAAUUUCCAAAAGAAGCUAAAACAUUUGUUGCAAUUGAUGAAACAUGUGAAUCGAAUGAUCAAAGUCAGUAUGAAGAUUUUUUACAUUCUUUAAAUCCUGCUGGUUUACCUCCUUACAGAUUAACAUUGAAAGAAAAUUGUCCAAUUAUACUACUACAAAAUUUGAAUCCUUGUGAAGGUUUAUGCAAUGGCACAAGAUUGACAUAUUGUGAUUUUAAAACACAUGUUAUAAGCGCAAAAAUUACAAGCAGUGACUUUAAAAUACACAUGUGUUCAUUUCGAGAAUACCAUUGAUAUCAUCAGAAGAUGAAAAAUCACCAGUGUAGUUUAAAAGAACACAAUUUCUAGUAAGACUGUGUUUUGCUAUGACUAUAAAUAAAGCACAAGGUCAAACAUUAGAUUUUGUUGGUAUAUAUUUACGAGAAUCAGUGUUUUUACAUGGCCAACUUUAAAGCUUCCAAUUGUGUUAAGAUAUUAAUUCGGCCGCCAAACCCAUAUCUAUAUACAAUAUAGUUUAUCGGCUGCCAAACCCAUAUCUAUAUACAAUAUAGUUUAUGAUGAAAUCAUUCAAAAGGCUUUCUUGUGAAUCUUUUACAUGUUACUGUAUACCAUCUGCUGAACUAAACAGAGUUGAACAUACAAUUUGACAUACAAUUUCACACAAGAAUACCCAUCUUUUUUGUGGAACAUGUACUUCGGAAUUCCCAGUAUAAAGUUGACGCACACAGUUGAAGCAUAUUUGUCAGUUUCUACACAUGAUGGUGAAAAGUCAUUUGUUGCUAUGUACAGGUUUGCCAAAUAGGCUAUACAACAACGUUUUUCUUCUCAUAUAUCCAUUGCUUUGAAAUUGCUUCCAAUCAGAUUGCUUAGAUUUUAUUUUAAUUUUGAUUCUCUAACUGUUCUUGCUGCUACCUCUUUUUGUAAUUUUCUAUAAUACGUUUAAUUUCCCCAGUGUACGAUGGCUAAGGGGUGUACUGCAAGUUCCUGAGAGUUCCUUUGAAAAGGGAGGAUUGAAACUAAUGGCUUAGGCUCUUUUAUUCAAUUACUGCUUUCCCCAAAAAUGAGUUCCCUCAAUUCAUUUAAUUUAUUACACAUUACUGCCUUUUUUAACUCCCUCAAUUACUGUCUUUUUAUACAUUAGUUUUGCUUUUUUGGUACAGAUUGCUAUCUUAAUUAUUUUCUAUGUUAGGAUUUUUGUGGAAUUAUGAUACAUAUGUUGGUCUAAACUAAUUUUGCCUCCAACUAUUUUGUCUUUUCUUUAGAGAUUAAUUUCUUUGCUGGUUACUUCUCAAGGAGGGAAUGGAUACAAUAAGCAAAUAUGUGACUGAAGUUGAUGGAGAAAAUGAUGAGUUAAUAUGAAGGUAGGAACAACUGAAGAUGAAGAAUCACACUCGACUAAAAUGGACCCUGUUCGGCCUGUUGAAUUGUUUGGGAGGGGAAUUUAUUUCAUUCAGCUUUCCUUCACCAUUUACUAGAUAUUAUUAUGCUAUGGUGGAAUGUGAUUCAAACGCUACAAUAGAUUAUCUUUACAAAACUUGCGACAGGGUUUUUGAAAAAACAUCAAACUAAUUAGAUUUAAGGUUUAUUCCAGACCCACGUCACAUUGCAACAGAGGUGUUAUAGAAUCAUCAUGGAGAAUUGCCUCCCAAAAUUGCCACAUUUCUAGAUUGUCUCAACUCUCAAGGAUGUUGGCAUGCCUAUAGUGGCAUUUUCUCUCAGAGAAGCAGCAAAUGUCCAUUUCGAAGUUUCUUAGCGUCUUACAAAAAUAGCUUCUGCGUGGUGUAGUGUUCUUUUUGGUUCAACUAGGACUGAUAAAUUUUCCUACCACUGUCUGCUGUUCACUGAUGAUUGUUGCCUCAACUGUCUAUGCUGGUUGAUACCACCCCAUUCGAACACUGAUUUGGGAAUGAGAAUUUAAAUUUUACCCUAUGGAUAAAACAUUUAUUACUAUUCAUAAAGAAAGAUUGUUUGUAAUGACAACAGUCUACUGUUUGGAUGCACAACUAUUUCUUCUA